CCGUGUUUGUGGUUGCAAGUCGAUGCCAGUCGCAGGCAAAACGAUCCACGUAAGCGGGGCAAAGCACCCGUGAGCAUGGUGCGGCUUAGAGGUAAGUCCGGCCGGGAAAACCGAGAGGGGCAGUAGUGGGGAGCAUUUUGCUUAGGAGCGAACCCUCCAGCCGGCGAGUGUGGGGUCAAAGACCAGGUCAGGCGGC
rnacentral:ncRNA from 1 species